AUUGAACGCUGGCGGCAGGCCUAACACAUGCAAGUCGAACGGCAGCGCAGCAGUAGCAAUACUGUGGGCGGCGAGUGGCGGACGGGUGAGGAAUACAUCGGAAUCUACCUUGUCGUGGGGGAUAACGUAGGGAAACUUACGCUAAUACCGCAUACGACCUACGGGUGAAAGCGGCGGACCGCAAGGCGUCGCGCGAUUGGAUGAGCCGAUGUCCGAUUAGCUAGUUGGCGGGGUAAAGGCCCACCAAGGCGACGAUCGGUAGCUGGUCUGAGAGGAUGAUCAGCCACACUGGAACUGAGACACGGUCCAGACUCCUACGGGAGGCAGCAGUGGGGAAUAUUGGACAAUGGGCGCAAGCCUGAUCCAGCCAUGCCGCGUGUGUGAAGAAGGCCUUCGGGUUGUAAAGCACUUUUGUUGGGGAAGAAAAGACGCCGGUUAAUACCCGGUGUUCAUGACGGUACCCAAAGAAUAAGCACCGGCUAACUUCGUGCCAGCAGCCGCGGUAAUAC
rnacentral:rRNA from 1 species